rnacentral:lncRNA from 1 species
ACGCCUACAGUGCGCUCCCCCUCACUCCUUUUCCUCGGAGUGCCCGGCCCCGGCCCCCUUCUGCCCCUUUCCCCGGCAGGGUGAUACUUUGUCAAGCCGUAAUCCAACCCUGCUAAACCCGCGGGUAGAGCUGAAGCGCUGCGAUGAAUCUCGGCAGACUCAUUCCUCUCCUCGAGAGCUUGCUGCCCUUAGAAAUGACUUCAGCGCGCUUUUGCAAGUGUAAAGGGAAAUCAAGAUCCCCUCUUCAUGUCUCUUGAUCUUCACCAGACUAGAAGAACCUGUAGUUCUUAGAGCUGCAGCUUCAUUCUUGGAGUAUCAAUACUUGAAUGCCAGUGGGAAUUGGAUUGUUUUUAACCUGAAUUUCUCCAGCAAUAUCUGUCUAAGGGAAUGAGUGUGUAUGUGCUUGGCUUAACGACAGCCACACUUAAUGAAUUGACUGUUCUGUCGGCAGUUUUAUGUUGUGUCACUUUCAUUUAGCUUCUAUACUUUCCUUUAUUCUUAUUGACACAAAUUGUCCUUUCUUCUUGGUACAAGAGAGAAAGAACUACAUCUGAUUUAUAUAGCAUAAUUAUAUUGAAUUUUGAAUCUAGCCGUGGUCAUCAAAAUAAUUUUCUGAAAAUAAUUCCUGUGGGAAUUCCAAACUAUGUCUGAAUUAUCAUUCUUCAUUAUGUAAGAGCAUAUUUUGUAAAUGUUUAUGAACUACUGAAUUAGGAAAAAGUUGGAAUGCGUAUUUUUAAAUUGAUUAGCCUCUUUAUUUAGAUUUCUUGUAUCUCCUGUUUUAUUUAGAUUUCUUGUAUCUCCUGUUUUAUAAGACUAUGGAAUAGAAUCAGAUUUUCUUAGAAUUGUGUUGUUUUAUAAUGGAGCAACAGGUGACCAACUGAACUUAAGAAAAGUGCUAAUCAGAAGAGAAAAGAUCAUCUAACUUAAGGGAAAAUAUUUUUAAAAAGGAAUCCUGGCAUAAAGAAUCCUAUUUCAGAAAGAAUCUGGUAAUCCCACCUCUUCUUUUCCCCUUCAUCUGUGUCUGAGCUUUCUGUUGGGAAAGUUGGACUGGUGUUUUUGCUGUACAGUAUCUUUGACUGACAGCUCAGAAAUGCCUCCGCUUGUCAUAUACAGGCAGCAUAA